rnacentral:rRNA from 1 species
CAGGAUUUAGAUACCCUGGUAGUCCACGCCGUAAACGAUGAGUGCUAAGUGUUGGAGGGUUUCCGCCCUUCAGUGCUGCAGCAAACGCAUUAAGCACUCCGCCUGGGGAGUACGACCGCAAGGUUGAAACUCAAAGGAAUUGACGGGGGCCCGCACAAGCGGUGGAGCAUGUGGUUUAAUUGGAAGCAACGCGAAGAACCUUACCAGGUCUUGACAUCCUUUGACCACUCUAGAGAUAGAGCUUCCCCUUCGGGGGCAAAGUGACAGGUGGUGCAUGGUUGUCGUCAGCUCGUGUCGUGAGAUGUUGGGUUAAGUCCCGCAACGAGCGCAACCCUUAUUGUUAGUUGCCAUCAUUUAGUUGGGCACUCUAGCGAGACUGCCGGUGACAAACCGGAGGAAGGUGGGGAUGACGUCAAAUCAUCAUGCCCCUUAUGACCUGGGCUACACACGUGUUACAAUGGGAAGUACAACGAGUUGGGAAGUCGCGAGGUUAAGCUAAUUUCUUAAAGCUUCUCUCAGUUCGGAUUGUAGGCUGCAACUCGCCUACAGGAAGCCGGAAUCGUUAGUAAUCGCGGAUCAGCACGCCGCGGUGAAUACGUUCCCGGGCCUUGUACACACCGCCAAGUCACACCACGAGAGUUUGUAACACCCGAAGUCGGUGAGGUAAC